AUCGCUUUUCGGCCUUUUGGCUAAGAUCAAGUGUAGUAUCUGUUCUUAUCAGUUUAAUAUCUGAUAAGUCCUAUAUCCGAGGACAAUUUAAAAAAAAACAAAAAAAAAUUUAUCAUACUACAGUAAUCAAAAUGUGUGGAACUGGC
rnacentral:snRNA from 1 species